ensembl:lncRNA
AAAAAAAUAACAACAAUACAUUAAGUUAGCAAAGAUGCAUUACAUUUAAAUGUUUCGAAAAUGACAGAUAUAAAAUUACAUUUAUAUUGUUACAAAAUAUUUAUAUUCAUCAAAAAAGAUAAAAAAUAUUAUUCCAUAAAAAUAUGAAGUAGCACAACUGUUUUCCAGUUUUAUAUAUAUAUAUAUAUAUAUAUAUGUAUAUGUUAAUUUAAAUUGUAAUAAUAUUUCACAAUAGUGUGUGUGUGUGUGUGUGUGUGUGUGUGUGUGUGUGUGUGUGUGUGUGUGUGUGUGUGUGUGUGUGUGUGUGUUUGUUGAUCAAAUAAAUGUAGCCAUGGUGAGCAUAAGAGACUUCUUUCAAAAACGUAAUUGUUACCAACCCCAAACUUUUUAGUUUGUGUUAUUGUAAAGAAUAUAAUGGUGUUUUCAUCAUCACAAUGUUUAAAAAUGUUCAACAGGUAAGUGUGGUGCACUUGCACAUUUUGAGAGGAUUUAUUUAUUUAUUUUUGUUUAUUGAUUGUGUCAAUUCCACACCAGAAUACGGGGGUAAAGUGGUAAUAAGGUGCCAAAAGCCGUGUAUAGAAGGUUAAAAGUGUGUUUGGCUGCAUAUGUUCUUUGUAAGAGCAGCUCUGUGUGCCACAUUAGAGAGAGGCAGAGUCACAGAAGGAGCCGUUGUCUUGACAGCCUGUCACCGUGGCGACCGAGCACAUUCCAGUCUACUUUUAUUGUAUGGAAAAGAGCAGCAUGAACACCCUGCUAAAUAUCUCCUGUUGACUUCCUUUCAUAUACAGAACUAUAAGAGGGUGAGUAAAUGAUUACAGAAUUGUCAUUUUUAGGUGAACAGUAAAAAAAAAAAAUACACAAGCAUUUCAAGUAAAAUGUUUGACAAAAAUAAUUGAUUAGGUUUUAACAAUAGAUGUACUGUUUAAAAUGAAUAUAAAACAUAUUUGGACUCUUAUUCUUAUUGGACUUAUUCUGGUUGUCAAACGUUAGUGGAUAAUGUUCAUAGUUGAAUUACACGUGUGGUUACUCUGUUAGUACACUUGAAGAGAACUGACCUGACCCCAUAUAUCUACUUAAAAUGACCUUGGAACGAGUAGAUUAAAAGUCGCUGAAAAAAAAAAAAAAAAACCUCAAAGUUAAGUUAAGUCUCCAAUUACUUUUCAGAGCCACUGUUCAUUUCAGAUACAACCCAUCCUGCUGCUUCCUCUGUCCUGGCAGCUUUUAUUUUUUGGACAGUGUCUCUCGGCUUGCACGGUAUUGAUAUAAGGGAUUGGCUUCCAUGUAGUUUUUGGCACAACCUAAUGGGAGAUAAACCAUAUAUUAAAAAAGGAGUCAAGUAAAUCUUUUCCUGGAGAAAAGCAAAUCUCAGAAGUAUUGUUACUAUCUGGGUGAUGUAUUGGAAGUAGUGAAAUUAUAAUAGCUGAACAAUCACACUGAAAAUUUAUUUUAUUCACCUAAUAACAGACACCAUGACAAUGUAGGAGAGCAGACUUAUGCGCACAGACAGACACAUGUCCGAGUGACUAUAUUAAUAUAUAUCCACUAAAGUAAAGGUCAUCAACCCUCAAAAUACCAGAAAAAGUGAAAAAUCCCUCUGCCUCCUCUUUUAUUUCUGUUUGAUAUGUACUAUUCACCGAAUUCUCUUUCCGAGUCUCUGACCUUAUCUGAGAUGCGAGCCGCCAACGCACCUGAUAGAGAUCAAAUUCAUUUUUACAGAAGCAUGCUUUAAUAU